CUUCUCCUACGGGGGGCAGCAGUGGGGAAUUUUGGACAAUGGGCGUAAGCCCGAUCCAGCUAUUCCGCGUGUGGGAAGACGUCCUUCGGGUUGUAAACCACUUUUGUAGAGAACGAAAAGUCUAUUGAUAAUACCGAUAGACGAUGACGGUACUCUAAGAAUAAGCACCGGCUAACUACGUGCCAGCAGCCGCGGUAAUACGUAGGGUGCGAGCGUGAAUCGGAAUUACUGGGCGUAUAGGGUGUGCAGGCGGUUGUGUCA
rnacentral:rRNA from 1 species